rnacentral:lncRNA from 1 species
CAUAAUACAAUACAACACUAAACAUAGUAUUACUAAAAAUUAAUAUAAAUAAUGUAACACCAAACAUUGUAUAGGAUUAUUAUAAUACAAUACUAAUACAAUACAACAUAAUACAAUACGUCUGUAUUAAAAUAUUGCAAUACAACAUAAUAUAAUACAAUGUGUCAAACGCACCCUUUAAUCAAAAAAGAAAAUUUCAUAAUUCAAAAAAUACAUAUGUUGUGGCCGUACUUCUUCUUCAUCAUCAUCAUAUUCUGACCUAUUGAAAGAAAUCUCUUAAUACCACUAUAGCUUGAAAUGGGCGAACGUGAAGAGGUCACAGCACAUGAAUCAAUCUUGUCUCUUAUCAUAAAAUCACAAGACCGAGGCUGAGGCUGAUGAGGCAGUGCCACGCCAUUCUUAUUUUUAAGACAUUCUUAGGUUUUUAUAGUGUUGGCAUCUUAUGGCAAGUUAAUAUUAUUUCAAAAAUAAUAUAAUUAUCUAUCCUUAUUUAUUGGCUUCAUUUCCUUUAGGGUGUGUUUGGUGUGUGGUAUUACAUAGCAUUAAGUGUGGACCCAACAUUAAAUUAAAUCAAUCACAUGUAUGGGAAUUAAUUGAGGCUCAUUGGGAUUGGUCUUCAGAGCUGUGCUAAUGCAGCAAUUGCUGCAUUAACUUAAACCUGACUCGCAGUUGGGUUUCUUUUUUUUUUUUUCUUUUACUUUCUACUAAUAAUAAUAAUUAAUAA